rnacentral:rRNA from 1 species
GACGAACGCUGGCGGCGUGCUUAACACAUGCAAGUCGAACGGAAAGGCCCUGCUUUUGUGGGGUGCUCGAGUGGCGAACGGGUGAGUAACACGUGAGUAACCUGCCCUUGACUUUGGGAUAACUUCAGGAAACUGGGGCUAAUACCGGAUAGGAGCUCCUGCUGCAUGGUGGGGGUUGGAAAGUUUCGGCGGUUGGGGAUGGACUCGCGGCUUAUCAGCUUGUUGGUGGGGUAGUGGCUUACCAAGGCUUUGACGGGUGGCCGGCCUGAGAGGGUGACCGGCCACAUUGGGACUGAGAUACGGCCCAGACUCCUACGGGAGGCAGCAGUGGGGAAUAUUGCACAAUGGGCGGAAGCCUGAUGCAGCAACGCCGCGUGCGGGAUGACGGCCUUCGGGUUGUAAACCGCUUUCGCCUGUGGCGAAGCGUGAGUGACGGUAAUGGGUAAAGAAGCACCGGCUAACUACGUG